rnacentral:rRNA from 1 species
GUACACACCGCCCGUCGCUACUACCGAUUGAAUGGCUUAGUGAGGCUUUCGGAUUGGGGGCUGGCCGCAAGGCUGCGCCUCUGAGAAGCUGGACAAACUUGGUCAUUUAGAGGAAGUAAAAGUCGUAACAAGGUUUCCGUAGGUAACCUGCAGAAGGAUCA